ACUCCUGCGGGAGGCAGCAGUGGGGAAUAUUGCACAAUGGGCGCAAGCCUGAUGCAGCCAUGCCGCGUGUAUGAAGAAGGCCUUCGGGUUGUAAAGUACUUUCAGCGGGGAGGAAGGCGAUAAGGUUAAUAACCUUGUUGAUUGACGUUACCCGCAGAAGAAGCACCGGCUAACUCCGUGCCAGCAGCCGCGGUAAUACGGAGGGUGCAAGCGUUAAUCGGAAUUACUGGGCGUAAAGCGCACGCAGGCGGUCUGCCAAGUCGGAUGUGAAAUCCCCGGGCUCAACCUGGGAACUGCAUUCGAAACUGGCAGGCUAGAGUCUUGUAGAGGGGGGUAGAAUUCCAGGUGUAGCGGUGAAAUGCGUAGAGAUCUGGAGGAAUACCGGUGGCGAAGGCGGCCCCCUGGACAAAGACUGACGCUCAGGUGCGAAAGCGUGGGGAGCAAACAGGAUUAGAUACCCCUGUAGUCCC
rnacentral:rRNA from 1 species